GGAUGUGAGGGCCAUCUGGAUGUGACAUCUGUCACCCCAGUGAUUGCCAGGGUUGACUGGAUGAUUAGGCUGGCUAGGUGGGUGUCCCCUUCCUCCCUCACUGGUCCAGGUGCAUCUCUCCUGGACUGAAGUUUACUUUGCGGACACUGAGCACUGAGUUGUCCUGGCAAUCAGUAACUUGUAGCAUUGUAUUUGCACGUCAGAACGUAGGGAGGAACUAGAAGGUUGAUUGAUAGGAGGAAAAAUAAGAGGAGGUUGUUU
ensembl:misc_RNA 7SK 7SK RNA